AUUGAACGCUGGCGGCAUGCCUUACACAUGCAAGUUGAACGGCAGCACGGGAGCAAUCCUGGUGGCGAGUGGCGAACGGGUGAGUAAUGUAUCGGAACGUACCUUUCAGUGGGGGAUAACGUAGCGAAAGUUACGCUAAUACCGCAUAUUCUGUGAGCAGGAAAGCAGGGGAUCGCAAGACCUUGCGCUGAUUGAGCGGCCGAUAUCAGAUUAGCUAGUUGGUGAGGUAAAGGCUCACCAAGGCGACGAUCUGUAGCGGGUCUGAGAGGAUGAUCCGCCACACUGGAACUGAGACACGGUCCAGACUCCUACGGGAGGCAGCAGUGGGGAAUUUUGGACAAUGGGCGCAAGCCUGAUCCAGCCAUGCCGCGUGAGUGAAGAAGGCCUUCGGGUUGUAAAGCUCUUUCAGCCGGGAAGAAAACGCAUGGGUUAAUACCCUGUGUGGAUGACGGUACCGGAAUAAGAAGCACCGGCUAACUACGUG
rnacentral:rRNA from 1 species